AGGCCCUGGGGUGUUACACGUGUGGUUGCAAACCACGAGAUGCAGAGUGAUUCCUGCCGGGGCUUC
rnacentral:tRNA from 1 species